rnacentral:rRNA from 1 species
GAAGGUCCCAAGCGUUGUUCGGAAUCACUGGGCGUAAAGGGAGCGUAGGCGGCGUGGUAAGUCAGAUGUGAAAUCCCGGGGCUCAACCCCGGAACUGCAUCCGAUACUGCCGUGCUUGAGGGUUGGAGAGGUAGCUGGAAUUCUCGGUGUAGCAGUGAAAUGCGUGGAUAUCGAGAGGAACACUCGUGGCGAAGGCGAGCUACUGGUCAACAUCUGACGCUGAGGCUCGAAGGCUAGGGGAGCAAAAGGGAUUAGAUACCCCUGUAGUCCUAGCAGUAAACGGUGUGCGCUUGGUGUGAGGGGAUUCGACCCCCCUUGUGCCGGAGCUAACGCGUUAAGCGCACCGCCUGGGAAGUACGGCCGCAAGGCUA